UAGUCCACGCCGUAAACGAUGGAUACUAGGUGUCCGGGAUUUAUUUCUGGGCAUCCAAGGGAAACCAUUAAGUAUACCACCUGGGGAGUACGUCGGCAACGAUAAAACUCAAAGGAGUUGACGGGGGCCCGCACAAGCGGUGGAGUAUGUGGUUUAAUUCGAAGCAACGCGCAGAACCUUACCUACCCUUAACAUUUCACGACGUAUACAGAGAUGUAUAUUUCUCUUCGGAGACGUGAGGAUAGGUGCUGCAUGGCUGUCGUCAGCUCGUGUCGUAAGAUGUCUGGUUAAGUCCAAUAACGAGCGCAACCCUUAUCCUUAGUUACCAGCAUUAAGUUGGGGACUCUAGGGAGACUGCCGGUGUUAAACCGGAGGAAGGUGGGGAUGACGUCAAGUCCUCAUGGCCCUUACAGGCUGGGCUACACACGUGCUACAAUGGUAUCUACAGUGAGCAGCGAUCCCGCAAGGGUUAGCUAAUCUCCAAAAGNUAUCUCAGUUCGGAUUGUUCUCUGCAA
rnacentral:rRNA from 1 species